rnacentral:rRNA from 1 species
GACAGAGGUGGCGAACGUUGCUCGGAAUUACUGGGCGUAAAGCGCGUGUAGGCGGCCGCGCGCGUCGGGUGGUGAAAGCCCAGGGCUCAACCCUGGAAGGGCACACGAUACGACGCGGCUGGAGUCCGGAAGAGGCAGGCGGAAUUCCCGGUGUAGCGGUGAAAUGCGCAGAUAUCGGGAGGAACACCAAUGGCGAAAGCAGGUAACUGGACUAUUACUGACACUCAACUGCGAAAGCUAGGGGAGCAAACAGG